rnacentral:lncRNA from 1 species
GUCAUGCCCUUAAUCACAAUUUGAUCCUAUACAAACCACAUUUACUUUCAUGUUCAAUACACAUAUGCUAUGCACUUUAAGUAUAUAAAUAUGAUGGGUCCUAUUUAAGGUGUGCCUAGCACAUUGUUCAACCUGGAUUCUUAAUGUUGGGUAGUUCUUUUUUAGUUGCUCUAACUGGGUAUGGUGGUAAUAAUGAACCAAUACUUAAACUUAUUUUUUUGGUGGUAUUAAUGAACCUGGGUUAUCUUAAUGUUGGGAAGAAGAGACCGGCACCUUCAAUACAAGCAACGGUAGCAUACAGGGUGUGGUGUGGAUGUACAAGUACUACUACUGGAGCACAACACAGAGACACUGAUGAUGCAUCGUCGUCUUCUUCAGUUAUUAAUAAGCUCGCUCCCUACGCAAACAUCAAACAACAGCUGGAAUCGUAAGUAGAUCAACACGACGCGACGCCUCCCUUCUGAAAGCGGAGGCCUCUGCUUUCAGAAUGGACGCUCUGUAUGCAGCACGGUGAAGGCCGGCGGCUUAUCAGUCGCAGCACAUCUCGCAGAUCCAGCAGCAGCACAGCGCCGCGAUGCUGAAAUCAAAACAUCAAGUAGUAAGUUUUAAUCGGAGAGAUCAACUGCAUGUAUAACUCCAAAAGAUUUCGACUACUUAUCGUAAAGUUUUAAUUUUUUAAUCAGUUGACAGAUUACCAUCCUUCGAUGAAUCCUUUCUCUCCGCGAGAGGUCGUCUUGCCCCGGCGCCCCUUCCGCCCUCCCUGCUGCUCUGCACCUGACGCGGUCGGGUAGCCUGCAUAUAUGCGUCCAAGCAUGGCACGACGAACGAGUUCAGAACCAAUCCAGCCAGAGACAACAAGCUAGGUGCCCAAGAAACUGUAGCCUCCUGUGUUGGCCAUAGCCCAUAUAAGUGAUUCAGAAACCUGACCUGGUGGUGGAGGCGGCUGGCUGUUGCUGUUGUUCUCCAUCCUUUCUUGCUUCUGAAGACUCUAGAGCAGGAUGAUGCACAUUCUACAACUCGUAGGUAAAGGUGGCUGUCUUGGUUGGGAUCUCAACGAGACAAGCUGCCCCUUAUAUAGCCUUUGCUGCAGGGCAGUGUGUUGGUUGCUGGUGCCUUCCUUGCCGCCCUGGUCUUUCUCUUACAGAUAAGACCUGUGAC